rnacentral:rRNA from 1 species
UCCUUCGGGAGGCAGCAGUGGGGAAUUUUGGACAAUGGGGGAAAGCCUGAUCCAGCAAUGCCGCGUGAGUGAUGAAGGCCUUAGGGUUGUAAAGCUUUUUUACUGGGGAUGAUAAUGGCCGUUCCCAGAGAAUAAACUCCGGCUAAAUCCGUGCCAGCAGCCGCGGUAAUACGGAGGGAGCUAGCGUUGUUUGGAAUUUCUGGGCGUAAAGCGCACGUAGGCGGCCUUUUAAGUCAGGGGUGAAAUUCCGGGGCUUAACCCCGGAACUGCCCUUGAAACUGGAAAGUUUGAAUUUCGGAGAGGCGAGUGGAAUUCCGAGUGUAGAGGUGAAAUUUGUAGAUAUUCGGAAGAACCCCAGUGGGGAAGGCGACUCCCUGGACAAGUAUUGACGGUGAGGUGCGAAAGCGUGGGGAGCAAACCGGAUUAGAUUCCCUGGUUGUCCCCCCCGUAAACGAUGAUAACCAGUUGUUCGGGCUCAUAGACCUUAGUGACGCAGCUACGCAUAAGUAUCCGC